UACGAAGGGGGCUAGCGUUGCUCGGAAUUACUGGGCGUAAAGCGCACGUAGGCGGCUUCUUAAGUCGGUGGUGAAAUCCUGGAGCUCAACUCCAGAACUGCCUUCGAUACUGGGAGCUCGAGUCCGGGAGAGGUGAGUGGAACUGCGAGUGUAGAGGUGAAAUUCGUAGAUAUCGCAAGAACACCAGUGGCGAAGGCGGCUCACUGGCCCGGUACUGACGCUGAGGUGGCGAAAGCGUGGGGAGCCAAACAGG
rnacentral:rRNA from 1 species